AGUCUCAGACCACAACCAGAACCCAGCUGUGUGUCCUUUAAGAGUGACAAGUCAAAGGGUCCUCCUCUUAACUUCAAAUCUUCUGGACCUUCAUCCUCAGAGAGGAUUCCUAAGAGACUGACACGAACACAUCAAGAGGAACCAGAACUCAGCUGUGUGUCCUUUAAGAGUGACAGGUCAAAGGGUCCUCCUCUUAACUUCAAAUCUUCAGGACCUGCAUCCUCAGAGAGAGUGGACCAGCAGAACUCAGAGGUUCCCAGAGGUCCGUCU